AGCGAACGCUGGCGGCAGGCUUAACACAUGCAAGUCGAACGCAUCCUUCGGGGUGAGUGGCAGACGGGUGAGUAACGCGUGGGAACGUGCCUUUCGGUUCGGAACAACCCAGGGAAACUUGGGCUAAUACCGGAUACGCCCUUUUGGGGAAAGAUUUAUCGCCGAGAGAUCGGCCCGCGUCUGAUUAGCUAGUUGGUAGGGUAAUGGCCUACCAAGGCGACGAUCAGUAGCUGGUCUGAGAGGAUGAUCAGCCACACUGGGACUGAGACACGGCCCAGACUCCUACGGGAGGCAGCAGUGGGGAAUAUUGGACAAUGGGCGCAAGCCUGAUCCAGCCAUGCCGCGUGAGUGAUGAAGGCCCUAGGGUUGUAAAGCUCUUUCACCGGUGAAGAUAAUGACGGUAACCGGAGAAGAAGCCCCGGCUAACUUCGUG
rnacentral:rRNA from 2 species